rnacentral:rRNA from 1 species
UCCAGACUCCUACGGGAGGCAGCAGUGGGGGAUAUUGCACAAUGGGGGAAACCCUGAUGCAGCGACGCCGCGUGGGUGAAGAAGCGCCUCGGCGCGUAAAGCCCUGUCAGCAGGGAAGAAAAUGACGGUACCUGAAGAAGAAGCUCCGGCUAACUACGUGCCAGCAGCCGCGGUAAUACGUAGGGAGCGAGCGUUGUCCGGAAUUACUGGGUGUAAAGGGAGCGUAGGCGGGACUGCAAGUUGGGUGUCAAAUCUACCGGCUCAACCGGUAGCCGCACUCAAAACUGCAGUUCUUGAGUGAAGUAGAGGCAGGCGGAAUUCCUAGUGUAGCGGUGAAAUGCGUAGAUAUUAGGAGGAACACCAGUGGCGAAGGCGGCCUACUGGACGGUGACUGACGCUGAGGCUCGAAAGCGUGGGGAGCAAACAGGAUUAGAUACCCGGGUA